rnacentral:lncRNA from 1 species
CAUAGGACAUGAGAGCAUGUCCAUUAUACUGGUCAUGAGAUGUGGCAAAUGUGUCAAAACAUUUACCAGAUUGAACUAGUAUCAUUGGUUGAUACUUUUUCUUCCUUAAUAAACUAAGAAUUGUUUGAGGAAAAGCUCCAAAUCCAGUUCAAACUUAUAAUCCCUUUGUUGAGCCUGGGGUUUGGUGCAUAGCACAACCUCCAUGGAUACACCUUGCCUGACUCCGUGCAUGCAUGAACCAUGGUCACCAUUUUAUUUACUGAGCUGUCAGUGUUUGUUUCUGUUUCAGCUUUCACCUAUCAGAGAGCCCCAACACCUUGCUCAUGCUCUGAAUUACAUGGUGUGUGAGAAGGCUUGCUAUGUGAUAAGCAGUGUCGAGUUUCCAGAUGGUCCUCUGGCAUCAUCAGGAGCCUGAGCCCUCUUUCUGGAAUGAAGAGAGAAUGACUAGGAGAGGUACUUUUCUUCCUUUUGUCCACUCUUUAGUGCUAACCAGGCGAACUUGGACCUGCAUUGGAAAUCUGGAAACUUGGGUCCUUUGCUAGCGAUGCCAUCUCUGGGUGGCUUUGAAUUAGCAUGUGCCUUCUUAUGGGAUGGCUCUCUAGUUUAUGAAUCAUGUAGGCUCUGACUCCAUUAUGGGUCUCAACCAGGAGUACACCUGAGAACAAUCCGAGAACAUCCUUAAAACCCACAUCAUUCCUGGGACACCUGGGUGGCUCAGUCAGUUCAGCAUUUGUUUUCAGCUGUGUCAUGAUCCCGGAGUCCUGGGAUGGAGUCCUGCCUUGGGCUCCUGGCUCAGUGGGGAGCCUGCUUCUCCCUCUACCCCUACUGGCGCUCUCUCGCUCUCUCAAAUAAAUAAAAUCUUAAAAAAAAUACCCCCACAUUCCUUAUCUUCAGAACUACUGAAUCAGAACAUGGCAGGAGGUAAGACACGGGUAGUUUUAAGGAGCUCUUCAGGAGACCAAGUUGGCAUGGACUCAUAAGUCGGCAUCCUGUAGAUGUAGGCCUUAGGAAAGUUUUGGUGGUAAAUGGGAGUCUUGCAGUGGGGACUGAGAGACCCUCAGUGGCUGGAUGCCUACAGAAAUGGAACCCAGCAGGGCAGGGCAGCCUAAAACCUGAGGCUCAUCUCCUUCUCCAUCUGUAUCACUAUAUUUGUUUUAUGGUGUGUAUGUGUGCAUCUGUUUGCAGCGAUGACGUUUGUUUUUAAAUAGUUUCUUUUCUUACCCCCUUCCACCGACCACUGCAGUUUCCCAGCUGCUCUGGGGUAAGGUAAAACAUCUGUCCUGACCACCCCCCUUACAUGACCUGGCCUUCCUCCUAAUGGACUAAGAACAAGACAUUACUUUCUUGACCUUCCUGGAAAGCUUGCAUGAACCCUUUUAGAAUCAUUCUAUUUUAUUCACAUCUCUGGCAUUUUGUCUGGGAACUGUCUGCUUUUUGAAAUGGGGACUGGGUCUGCUGCUUCUUCGGGUACUUCCGCUCCUCAUUUACUGGGCACACAGUAGGUGCCGCAUGAAUGGAGUUGAAUAAAUAAAUGAAUAAAUAAACUUAGAUCAAUGGAAUAGUGACGAUGAAUCGGUGAGGACGUUGGUAACUAGAAUGCAUUUCAUUUGGAAGAGAUUAGGUUAUGUUAAUACCUGCACCUGUCUUUCUAGUGUUGUUUCAAACUAGAUCCUGGAGAUCGGUAUCUCCCCUUGACAGAUGGAAAAGGUAAGACACAGAGAUGUCUAGUGCUUAUUCAUAUAGCAUGGGAUGCAAAUCCAAGAAUAACUACUGAUAAUUAGCCUCUCCUGUUUGCAUAUCAGUUUAUUGUUCACAACAGUGUGAGCUAGGAGGCACAGGGGUAAUUUGUAUUUUGGGGUUGAGGACCUCAGGCUCAGAGAGGGAAGGUGUCAGGCAGGAGGUUACUGAUGGAGAUGGUCUUGGUGAGAUGAUGUUACAAUAAACCAGACAGACUCGUCAGUCCUGACAAAAUGCUAAAUACAAUGGCUUAAGAACACAUAAGGUGGGGAGCGCUCUAAUGGAAGACAGGGGGCUUGGGGCAGGUUGGUGGGUGGACAUGGAAUCUGGGGUUUCUCCUGGCUCACCCAUAAAUGUGUUAUGUCAGCUGGGGAAGGUUAAUUCUUUUGCUUGGCCUCAAUUUCUUCCCUCCACAGAAUGAGAGAAUUGGGCCAGGUUAUUUGUAAAAUUGCUUAUUAGCUCAACUGUACUGACUCCCAUGUAUAGGGAUGACAUAUUCGAGAAUAAACACAGGUUGAAUGGUUUUAGGAUAAUGGCAUAUUUUACUGAUUUUCCUGAUUCCCAAAGAUUUUUAUAGGUAAAAUUGGGUUUAAAUUAGAUUAUUCCCCCGGGUCCUUCAAUGUUGGGUAGAUAUAAAGAUGACUGAGAUGAUCGACAGUUAGAAAUUGGAG